UACGUAGGGGGCUAGCGUUGUCCGGAUUUAUUGGGCGUAAAGAGCGUGUAGGCGGCCAGGUAGGUCUGCUGUGAAAACUCGAGGCUCAACCUCGAGACGUCGGCGGAAACCAUCUGGCUAGAGCCCGGAAGAGGAGAGUGGAAUUCCUGGUGUAGCGGUGAAAUGCGCAGAUAUCAGGAAGAACACCCGUGGCGAAGGCGGCUCUCUGGGACGGUACUGACGCUGAGGUGCGAAAGCGUGGGGAGCAAACAGG
rnacentral:rRNA from 1 species